GCAAAGAAGCGCAUGCAGGAUAUGGCUGGUUACGUGGGACAGAAGACUAAGGAAAUGGGGCAAGAAAUCCAGAAGAAGGCACACGAAGGGAAAUGAUAAACAAGAGGAACCCACGGUUCUUUGUUUGUUUUUGUUUUUUGGGUAUCGUUUUCAAAUUGGAGAGCUUUUGUUGUAUGUGAAUCGUAAGGGGGCGUAUUACUGGAUAGAUGCGUUUGGUUCAUGGGCUUUUUUGUUCCAUUUCCUU
rnacentral:misc_RNA from 1 species